rnacentral:rRNA from 1 species
GUACACAAAAGCGCAUGUGCUGUGAGCUCGAUGAGUAGGGCGGGACACGUGGUAUCCUGUCUGAAUAUGGGGGGACCAUCCUCCAAGGCUAAAUACUCCUGACUGACCGAUAGUGAACCAGUACCGUGAGGGAAAGGCGAAAAGAACCCCGGCGAGGGGAGUGAAAAAGAACCUGAAACCGUGUACGUACAAGCAGUGGGAGCCCCACCACUAAGCCAGUGGUGAACUCCACAUACGCAUCCUUUGCUGAAGGUGCGGUUAACGGAGCGCAAGCGACGUUCAACCUCAAAAGAAGCAGAGGGGGCUUAGUGGUGGGGUGACUGCGUACC